rnacentral:rRNA from 1 species
AUUGAACGCUGGCGGCAGGCUUAACACAUGCAAGUCGAGCGGGGAAGGGUAGCUUGCUACCUGACCUAGCGGCGGACGGGUGAGUAAUGCUUAGGAAUCUGCCUAUUAGUGGGGGACAACAUUCCGAAAGGAAUGCUAAUACCGCAUACGCCCUACGGGGGAAAGCAGGGGAUCUUCGGACCUCGCGCUAAUAGAUGAGCCUAAGUCAGAUUAGCUAGUUGGUGGGGUAAAGGCCUACCAAGGAGACGAUCUGGAGCGGGUCUGAGAGGAUGCACCGCCACACUGGGACUGAGACACGGCCCAGACGCCUUCGGGAGGCAGCAGUGGGGAAUAUUGGACAAUGGGCGAAAGCCUGAUCCAGCCAUGCCGCGUGUGUGAAGAAGGCCUUUUGGUUGUAAAGCAAUUUAAGCGAGGAGGAGGCUACCGAGAUUAAUACUCUUGGAUAGUGGACGUUACUCGCAGAAUAAGCACCGGCUAACUCUGUGCCAGCCGCCGCAGUAACAC